UGGCUCAGUGGAAAGAGCCCUGGCUUGGGAGUCAGAGGUCAUGGGUUCGAAUCCCGU
rnacentral:tRNA from 1 species